GGAAGAAAGAAUAGGAAAGAAAAUAAAAGGAAAACUAGGGAUUUGAAGCUUGAAGUUUAAUUGCAUCGAAAAGAAAGGAGAAAGCUAUCGAGGACUAAAACGGGAGAUUCAUGGUCAGUAGAAGUCAAGAGUCCCGGUCCAACAUCCGAACGAUCCUGACUCCAACAUAAAUUUUGGUGAUGUUUUCUCCCUUAAUUGAAAGUGGCAUGUACUAGGAGUUGUAUAGGUUAUAUAGAUAUGCUUGUAAUGUUGGUUGUAAAAAUGGUAUACCAUAUUUUGAUAUUAGUUUAAUAAAAUGGUAAAGAUUAUAUUAUAUAAUUUGACAUUAAGUUAGA